rnacentral:rRNA from 1 species
UCGGCAACGGGGAUCUCGGCUCUCGCAUCGAUGAAGAACGUAGCGAAAUGCGAUACUUGGUGUGAAUUGCAGAAUCCCGUGAAC